rnacentral:rRNA from 1 species
GCUCAGAUUGAACGCUGGCGGCAGGCCUAACACAUGCAAGUCGAGCGGUAGCACAGAGAGCUUGCUCUCGGGUGACGAGCGGCGGACGGGUGAGUAAUGUCUGGGAAACUGCCUGAUGGAGGGGGAUAACUACUGGAAACGGUAGCUAAUACCGCAUAACGUCGCAAGACCAAAGAGGGGGACCUUCGGGCCUCUUGCCAUCAGAUGUGCCCAGAUGGGAUUAGCUAGUAGGUGGGGUAAUGGCUCACCUAGGCGACGAUCCCUAGCUGGUUUGAGAGGAUGACCAGCCACACUGGAACUGAGACACGGUCCAGACUCCUACGGGAGGCAGCAGUGGGGAAUAUUGCACAAUGGGCGCAAGCCUGAUGCAGCCAUGCCGCGUGUAUGAAGAAGGCCUUCGGGUUGUAAAGUACUUUCAGCGAGGAGGAAGGCAUUGUGGUUAAU